rnacentral:rRNA from 1 species
GAGGGGGAUAACUACUGGAAACGGUAGCUAAUACCGCAUAACGUCGCAAGACCAAAGAGGGGGACCCUCGGGCCUCUUGCCAUCGGAUGUGCCCAGAUGGGAUUAGCUUGUUGGUGGGGUAACGGCUCACCAAGGCGACGAUCCCUAGCUGGUCUGAGAGGAUGACCAGCCACACUGGAACUGAGACACGGUCCAGACUCCUACGGGAGGCAGCAGUGGGGAAUAUUGCACAAUGGGCGCAAGCCUGAUGCAGCCAUGCCGCGUGUAUGAAGAAGGCCUUCGGGUUGUAAAGUACUUUCAGCGGGGAGGAAGGGAGUAAAGUUAAUACCUUUGCUCAUUGACGUUACCCGCAGAAGAAGCACCGGCUAACUCCGUGCCAGCAGCCGCGGUAAUACGG